rnacentral:rRNA from 1 species
UACGUAGGGGGCUAGCGUUGUUCGGAAUCACUGGGCGUAAAGGGCGCGUAGGCGGCUUUGUAAGUCGGGGGUGAAAGCCUGUGGCUCAACCACAGAAUUGCCUUCGAUACUGCAUGGCUUGAGACCGGAAGAGGUAAGUGGAACUGCGAGUGUAGAGGUGAAAUUCGUAGAUAUUCGCAAGAACACCAGUGGCGAAGGCGGCUUACUGGUCCGGUUCUGACGCUGAGGCGCGAAAGCGUGGGGAGCGAACGGG